GUGGGGAAUUUUGGACAAUGGGCGCAAGCCUGAUCCAGCAAUGCCGCGUGCAGGAAGAAGGCCUUCGGGUUGUAAACUGCUUUUGUACGGAACGAAACGGUCCUGGUUAAUACCUGGGGCUAAUGACGGUACCGUAAGAAUAAGCACCGGCUAACUACGUGCCAGCAGCCGCGGUAAUACGUAGGGUGCGAGCGUUAAUCGGAAUUACUGGGCGUAAAGCGUGCGCAGGCGGUGCUGUAAGACAGGCGUGAAAGCCCCGGGCUCAACCUGGGAAUUGCGCUUGUGACUGCAGUGCUGGAGUACGGCAGAGGGGGAUGGAAUUCCGCGUGUAGCAGUGAAAUGCGUAGAUAUGCGGAGGAACACCGAUGGCGAAGGCAGUCCCCUGGGCCUGUACUGACGCUCAUGCACGAAAGCGUGAGGAGCAAACAGGAUUAGAAACCCCUGUAGUCC
rnacentral:rRNA from 1 species